CGCACAAGUGGUGGAGCAUGUGGUUUAAUUCGAAGCAACACGAAGAACCUUACCAGGGCUUGACAUCCAGUGCAAAGCUAUAGAGAUAUAGUGGAGGUUAACAUUGAGACAGGUGGUGCAUGGUUGUCGUCAGUUCGUGCCGUGAGGUGUUGGGUUAAGUCCCGCAACGAACGCAACCCUUGUCGUUAGUUACUAACAUUAAGUUGAGGACUCUAACGAGACUGCUAGUGUAAGCUAGAGGAAGGUGGGGAUGACGUCAAAUCAUCAUGCCCCUUAUGUCCUGGGCUACACACGUGCUACAAUGGCUGGUACAAAGAGUCGCAAUCUCGCGAGGGGGAGCUAAUCUCAAAAAGCCAGUCUCAGUUCGGAUUGAAGUCUGCAACUCGACUUCAUGAAGCCGGAAUCACUAGUAAUCGCGAAUCAGCUAUGUCGCGGUGAAUACGUUCUCGGGUCUUGUACACACCGCCCGACACACCACGAGAGUUGGUAAUACCAGAAGUGGGUAGCUUAACCGCAAGGAGAGCACCUCCCAAGGUAGGACUGG
rnacentral:rRNA from 1 species